AAGUCGUAACAAGGUUUCCGUAGGUGAACCUGCGGAAGGAUCAUUAUUGAAAUAAACCUGAUGGGUUGCUGCUGGUUCUCUAGAGAGCAUGUGCACACUUGUCAUCUUUAUAUCUCCACCUGUGCACCUUUUGUAGACCUGGAUAUCUUUCUGAAUGCCUAGCAUUUGGGUUUGAGGAUUGACUUUGUUGUCUUUCCUUACAUUUUCAGGCCUAUGUUUCUUCAUAUACCCCAUGUAUGUUAUAGAAUGUAAUAAAUGGGCCUUUGUGCCUAUAAACCUAUACAACUUUCAGCAACGGAUCUCUUGGCUCUC
rnacentral:misc_RNA from 1 species